rnacentral:lncRNA from 1 species
CGAUUUACAUGCGACGAAACAAAAGGAUAAGGAUUAAUACUCCCGAAAAUGGCACUAACAGUGGCACGCAAAAUGAAGACUGACACAAAAAUUUGCACAGAGACAUAGAUAAGACAAAACAACAAAUGUUGAACUAAGCAAAUUUAAUAUGGAGAACUAGUCACAUUUUUAAUAGUCAAUGACACUAAAAUAAACGAAUAAACAGGAACUUCAUGUAAUUAGGCAAUGUAAUUAAUUAAGUUGACGAAAUAUUUGAUAGCUGAAAUAAUGAAGUUGGUUUCAAACAGUGACUUUCAGCGCAAACUAAAAAAAACACAUAGAGGUCAUCCAAGAGGCUCUCAUAUUUUAAGAACUCAACUGCAAAUAGCUAAUAAUCCUCCGACUAAGAGAAAACUUAGACAAAAAUGGAGACAUAAAAAAAUGGCUCAAAUAAUUUACUAUAAGCGAUAGAAACAUCAUAGAUAUACCAAAACGAAGACAGAACUAAACUAUUAGAACAAAACAAUCACACCACAUGAUGGCUUU